rnacentral:lncRNA from 1 species
CGGGCGAGCCCGGCCCGGGGGGUCCCGCACCCGCGGGGCUGCGCCGGGCGCCGUCGGGCGCCGGUCCCGGGGGCUGCGAGCGGCUGUCGCGGAAGGGGGGGGGUGGGGGGGGCUCGAAAUGGGGCCCUGGGGCCGGGUUUCCUCCUGCCCCGGUUCUCGCUGCGGAGCCGCUUUGAGCUGCCGAGCCCGGCGGGGCCUGCGCGGCCCCGGGGAGCUCCCGGCAGAGGCCUCCCCGCGGGCCGAGCUCGGAGGCCCGGCGGAGCUGCGGGGCUCGCCGCGGCCGUGCCGCGGGGCCCGGGCUUCUCCCGCGGCGGCGUGAGGCUGGAGCUCGGCGCCGACUCCCCCGGAGCCGGAGCCCCGAAGUUUCUCCGUCUCGUUUCAACCGUUUCAUUUUUUAUUUUUUUAUUAUUUUUUUUUUUUUGCCUUGGCCUCUCAACCGCUGGCGACGGAGGCCAAAACUGCUGCUUCACGGCGUGCGUCCGAGACAUCGGGGGUGCUCUCAGCGGCCUGGAAAACCUUCGCUCCCGUCAAGCCGAGCGCGUUCUCUGCCUGCUGGGGAGACCGAAAAAAAAAAGAAAAAGCCGCGGGGCCGUCUGUGGCUGAGGCUGCUUUCAUCUGGGCAACCCGUGGAAACGUCGCGCCCCGAAACGCGGGGUGACGGCCCCGGGCUGGACGCUGCUGCCGCCGCCCCUGAGGGGGGCUCGGGCUGUUUCGCCCCUUGCCGUCUCGGAGGAGGCGGCUGGGGUGUCGCGGGUCAGCGGUGCCGGCCGGCCCGUAUUUUCUUUAGGGCUCUAAUUCUUCUGCUCCUCCCUUCUUCCACCAAGCGUUCCUGUGCACCUUUCCCUUCCGAUGUGGUUUCCAGCACUUUCUCCGUCCUCCAGACCUUUUCCAGACUUGCCGAGAGUCCUUGUGAUGCCGCCGUGGUUAUUGAUGCUGGCCUGGAUCAAGCAAGUGGAGGACGCGAUGUUUCCCCGGGAGGAAGUUGCAGAGAUUCCUUCAGACAGCAUGGCCAAAAUCAACCCCAAAUGCUUCCAGCACGAUCUGGGAACUGGGGAAGUAGAGGCUGGAUAUGGGCUCUGAGAGCCUGUUAGCCACGAGGGACUGCUGCAAGUCCUCACCGUGUGACUGCCUGUAGUAGUUCUGCAAGCUGAGAUACAAAGUAUAAUGUAAAUUUAGGGGCUUUUGUCUCUGUUGUUUAAAAUAUCUUAGCUUCUUACUCUAAAAAACGCAGAACCUUUCCUUAGAAGAUGAAGGGAGGAAUCAGGCGUCCUGAACUAUAAACUACAGGAUGAGUUUGUUUUUCCCCUACUUGACUUUGACUCAGUUUUGAAUAUUUGGAGAUUUCAGAGUUUCCGUUUUAUAAACUGUUCGCUCAUUUUCCUCUUGGAGUCAAGUUUGUAACUGGUGUGUUUUUUCCACCCCCCAGUUUUAUUUGCUCUAGGUAGCUUGUGCUUGGGUGCUCUUAGCUCAGACUCUCCGCACGGGCGAGAAGGGAUCUCCAUGUACCUGCGUUUGUCCCCCUGAAAACACGCUCACUGCUUCCAG